UUAUUGUUUGGACCUUUGUCAUUUUGUGGCAUGGAUUUUUUGUCCCUACAAGGUCCACCUGCUUGUCUUGAAUUCUGAGUUCUUGAGUUACUAAUUAUUGAAUUCUAGUUCCUAUUAUUGAGUUGCUAUAUCUUGCAUUGAGAUUCUUGAGUUGAUUGUUCAUGUCUAUUUUUCAACAUUAACCCUAUUUUCUAUGUAUUCAUUGAGUUCU
rnacentral:lncRNA from 1 species